rnacentral:rRNA from 1 species
GUGGGGAAUAUUGGACAAUGGGCGAAAGCCUGAUCCAGCCAUGCCGCGUGUGUGAAGAAGGUCUUCGGAUUGUAAAGCACUUUAAGUUGGGAGGAAGGGCAGUAAGUUAAUACCUUGCUGUUUUGACGUUACCGACAGAAUAAGCACCGGCUAACUUCGUGCCAGCAGCCGCGGUAAUACGAAGGGUGCAAGCGUUAAUCGGAAUUACUGGGCGUAAAGCGCGCGUAGGUGGUUUUGUAAGUUGGAGGUGAAAUCCCCGGGAUCAACCUGGGAACUGCCUCCAAAACUGCAUGACUAGAGUACGGUAGAGGGUAGUGGAAUUUCCUGUGUAGCGGUGAAAUGCGUAGAUAUAGGAAGGAACACCAGUGGCGAAGGCGACUACCUGGACUGAUACUGACACUGAGGUGCGAAAGCGUGGGGAGCAAACAGGAUUAGAAACCCCAGUAGUCC